rnacentral:rRNA from 1 species
AGUUGGUGGAGUGAUUUGUCUGGUUAAUUCCGUUAACGAACGAGACCUCAGCCUGCUAAAUAGUUAUGUCGAGGUCUACUCGGCAGCCAACUUCUUAGAGGGACUAUUGGCGAUUAGCCAAUGGAAGUUUGAGGCAAUAACAGGU